CGCCGCGAAAUUCGCCCUUGUGAAAUUGUUGAAAGGGAAGCGCUUGCAACCAGACCUGCCUGCGGUUGCUCAUCCGGGCAAAAGCCCGGUGCACUCUUCCGCUGUCAGGCCAGCAUCAGUUUGGGCGGUCGGAUAAAGGCUUCGGGAAUGUAGCUCCUCUCGGGGAGUGUUAUAGCCCGUUGCGAAAUGCGGCCAGCUUGGACUGAGGUCCGCGCUUCGGCUAGGAUGCUGGCGUAAUGGUUGUAAGCGGCCCGUCUUGAAACACGGACCAAGGAGUCUAACAUCUGUGCGAGUGUUUGGGUGUCAAACCCGUACGCGUAAUGAAAGUGAACGGAGGCGGGAACCUCUCGGGGUGCACCGUCGACCGAUCCUGAUGUCUUCGGAUGGAUUUGAGUAAGAGCAUAGCUGUUGGGACCCGAAAGAUGGUGAACUAUGCCUGAAUAGGGUGAAGCCAGAGGAAACUCUGGUGGAGGCUCGCAGCGGUUCUGACGUGCAAAUCGAUCGUCAAAUUUGGGCAUAGGGGCGAAAGACUAAUCGAACUAUCUAGUAGCUGGUUCCUGCCGAAGUUUCCCUCAGGAUAGCAGUAACGUUUUCAGUUUUAUGAGGUAAAGCGAAUGAUUAGAGGCCUGGGGGUUGAAACAACCUUCACCUAUUCUCAAACUUUAAAUAUGUAAGAAGUCCUUGUUGCUUAGUUGAACGUGGACAUUCGAAUGUAUCGUUACUAGUGGGCCAUUUUUGGUAAGCAGAACUGGCGAUGCGGGAUGAACCGAACGCGGAGUUAAGGUGCCGGAAUGCACGCUCAUCAGACACCACAAAAGGUGUUAGUUCAUCUA
rnacentral:rRNA from 1 species